UUACGGUCAUCUUACGUUGAUACACCGGUGCCCGUACGAUCAGCGAAAUUAAGCAGCGUCGAGCAUAGUCAGUACAUAGAUGGGUGACUGCUUGGGAAUAUCAGGUGCAGUAAU